AGGUGGAUAAUUACACAAUCAAUUAAACAUAAAAAAUGUGUGGACACCAAAAUUCAAGUGACAAGUUCACAAGAUUGCGAAAAAUAUACCCAUAGAAAAUAUAGCAUUUCCUUUUGCCAAGUUGAUGGAUCACCAGCCAAUCACUUAAGAACAUGCAAUUUUCAACCAUAAUACGGUGAAAAGUACACAUGGUAAGAACAAAGAAAUUUGAUAUGCUACAUGUUGAACUAAAGAUAAAUAUAUGACUGCUAUUGUGUAUAUCAUUGCUAAAUAUGUCUUAGCUCAUUUAGUAGGUAUGUUAUAAGCAUUAAGUUAACUACCGCUAACAAAAUUGUAAGAUAAGAAUGUAAGUACCACAUGGAAAAGAUGCCACGAUACUAGAGAUGAGAAUGAGUAUGCAACAUGGAAAAGGUUCCAAUGCUACUAGUACAAAAAUAAUAGCAUUUAUAAUCAUUUUUUGCUAUAUUCUAUACAAACAACAGGAUAAAUUAAUUCUUAUAAUGUACACCAGAUAUAAAGAAUGGUGAAGUUUCCAGACACAUACAUAAUAAUCAUGACCUAGUUGCUCACUUGGAUGUCAGUGUCCAAGUAAUUCAUACUUGGAGGAUCAGGACUCCUCAGAUCUGACAUUCACUAUGACAUCUUCAAAGGGUCAUUCAGUUCACAGUGAACAUAGAUUUAGCAAAUUAAUAUGCUUGAAUUUUAAGAAUGCAUGUCGCGAUUUCACUUCAUCUGCUUAGAUGAGCAUGGAAUAACCUCAUGGUGGCUGAACUAUCAAAAAAGGAUUUCUUUUGUUACUAAAGAGACAGGAGAAACGACUUGCAGAACUGAAUACAAUGUAAGAAGAAAAGAUCAUCUUCUAUUUCAGCUUCAUUGUGUGUGAAGAGAGAGAGAGAGAGAGAGAGGUGUAGUUAUUCACAAUUUUCCUCGUGGUGGUUCAAUUAUCAAAUAGGGUUCCUUUUACUAUUAAAGAGACAGAAAUUAUUUGCAGUAUUAAAUCAUAGAUAUCAUCACAAAUUCGUUAGUACAGUGUAAGAAUAAAAAGUGAUCAUCUUCUUUUUUGGUUUCAUGCGAGUGAAGAGAGAGAGAGAGGUCUCAAUAUACAUAAUUUUCUCUUCAAAACCAAGCAAAUAAAACAUGCUCUUUCCUGAUAAAACUGAAUUAAGUGUCCCAAAAGUAGUAGUAUUCUAAAUGGCUGAUUCUGUGUGAGCAUCACUAGCACAAGACAGGUGUGUGAAUCAUACACUUACCCAUCGAUCAGAUAUCAAUCGAGAAACAACAUGAAGUGCAGUAAGACAGUCCACAAAAUCUUCUCAAUAAAAACACUAAAAAUGUCAACAAACAGAUUGGCAGUUUUAUCCACAGAAGCCACAGUUCAGCUAGUCUACUAAAGAAGCAUUACAAUAAGUUAUCAUCAUAAUAAUCUGAAGAAUGUUGAGAUAAAAUGCUAUCGACAGUUCAACAUCCAAACGACGGUGCGCCUACAUGACCAGGAUCUUCCAGUAACCCUCAUCAACAACGUCGUUAAUGUGAUCAACAUUCUCGAGUCAUUUUCGGGGGGAAAAGUUCGAUCCAUCUAACCAUUCAGAGUCAUCUUCUAGUACCAUCAUUCUCCAUCCCUUUAUCAAACAUCAAAAGAGCCAUUUAAUCUGAAUACCGCAACUGAAUUAACACCACAUGACUAUGAAGCUAAGCUUGGAUCAAGAAAACCCAAUUCUUAUCGCAGAUUAGGCAAACACAAAAUCUACACAUAUUCCCCAAACAAAAUCUGGCUAGAACCCUAGCUUCUCCCUUAGAAAUAUAAACAGUGGACAACUCCAAGGUCACCUAUUUCCAGAUUAGCGAGCAUUAAGGUUAAAGAAUCUUCAAUUAUAGCAUAAAAUAGAGAGGAAACAAUCCUGAAGAAAUGAAAGAGGCCCUUGAAGUCUUCUUCGAACACUGCUGCACUGAUGUUAAUUGCAGCAGCUUUCCAAGCAAAAUCUUCCUAGAACGCUGUUACACAUUCUUCAACAGCAUCUCCUAAACCUUCAGACGCUUAGAGAGAGAGAGAGAGAGAUAAGGACAGAACCUACAAAAACCUAAGGUCAACUAUCCUAAGAUGAACCCUAAUCUUUGGCUUAAGUUGGAGGAAAGGAAUCGUAAGCCGUACCAUAGUAUUUUAAUAAGAGAGACAGAUUCUUCUUUUCCAAAUAGGAGAUUGAUCAGACAACUCCUUCACGACCCUUCAAGAUAGAGAAGCCAAGAGCAGGAAGACCUACAACGUUGGACCAAUCCCUACGCCACCACCUAUUCUGACACAUCUGCACCCCAUUUGCAUGGACACGAUUUGACUGCUCACUACCCCAACCCUAACACUCCACCAUAUCCCUCUU
rnacentral:lncRNA from 1 species